GAAUUGUUCGCAAUGGGCGCAAGCCUGACGACGCAACGCCGCGUGGAGGAUGAAGACUUUCGGGUCGUAAACUCCUUUCGACCGAGAUGAAUUCCCGCCGGCCUAACAAGCCGGCGGGGUGACAGUAUCGAGGGAAGAAGCCCCGGCUAACUCCGUCCCAGCCGCCGCGGGAAUACGGGGGGGGCAAGCGUUGUUCGGAAUUACUGGGCGUAAAGGGUUCGUAGGUGGCCAACUAAGUCAGACGUGAAAUCCCUCAGCUUAACUGGGGAACUGCGUCUGAGACUGGAUGGCUCGAGUGCAGGAGAGGAACGCGGAAUUCCAGGUGUAGCGGUGAAAUGCGUAGAUAUCUGGAGGAACACCGGUGGCGAAGGCGGCGUUCUGGACUGCAACUGACACUGAGGAACGAAAGCCAGGGGAGCAAACGGG
rnacentral:rRNA from 1 species